CCCCCCCCCGGCUCCCCCCCUACCCGAAGCCGCGGAGUCCCCUCCUCCCGGGAGCUGCGGCCCGUCCCCGGGGGGAGCCGGGGGAGCGGGGCCGGGGGGCUCGGCCCGGCCCGCGGCAAACUUCGGCGGGGAGCGGCGGGCCUUGCCCCGGGGCCGGCCGGGGGAGAAGCCAGCGGAGUUUGGGGAGCGAAGAAGCGGCCAGGGCACGGGAGGAGAAGCCGCAGGAGCGGAGCGGGGCGGGGGGAAGAGGAGGGCGGCGGGACCCCGCAGCUUUCCGCGCGGGCUUCUCUCGCACGCCAGCCCGGAGCCCCCCCCUCCCUCCCCCGGUGGCGCUCCGAGCCCUGCCCGCAGCGACAGUCUCUUAACGAAAGCGAAACGCGGGGCUGCCGGCGGCGGGCUGGCACCGGGCGGAGCGGGGGGGAGCACCGAGGAGCGGCUGGAGUUGGGAGGAUGCGGCAGCGGCGGCUGGAACUUCGCCGUUAAACACCGGGAGAGAGGCAGAGGCUGCCGGCGCGGGGAGGGAUGAGGUUGCGGUAGAAAUAAGCUCCGGAGGCGAACGGGCGUUGGGGAGCAAAGUGCGGCGGAGAAAGGAGUGCGAAGGGGGAUAACCGUGCCCGGGACGGAGGCGGAGAGACCGAGCGGCGGGCGGCCCCGCGGGAGGAGAGAGCGGGACGGGAGGCGCGGGGGGGACGGAGGGGCUGCCCGCCGCCGUCAGGGAGAUCGGAAGGCGCGGAGCUGCCGCCGCCCGGGGGAGCGGGGGAACGGGGACCUGUUGGCGGGGCGAGCCCCGGCGUGGGACGGUUCCGGCGUCCCGCCCGCAGCCCCGCCGGACACCGAGAGGGGCCAGCGCGGCCGUGCCCCUCACCGCGGCACCCGGGGAUGCGCCCGCUGGCUGCCGGCGGGGGGGGAUAUGGCAGUGCUGGGUGACUUUCCGGGGGGAGCCAGCCGCAGGUGACAAUAGCUCCCGGCUUUGGGGCUCACGCCGCCGUCCAGGGCUGGCUGCCGUACCCGGGCGUACGUACCUUCCUGCGCGGAACGUAUAGAUAUAAACAGGCGUGUGUGUGUGUGUGCGUGUACCGGGGAGAGAGAUAUUUAUGUAUGGGGCUUGAUUUAUAUCUAAUAGCACGUAUAAAGCUUUUCAAGGUGGCUGCAAUGUAAAAAGUAAUGACUUUAUUACCCCUGAAAGGUUCUGCGGUUCACAGUUAACAGUCCUCUGAAUUACAAUUCAUUACACAGUUGCGCGCUCUCUGAAGCCAACCUGCAUCAGGAUACCUAUCUGUGGUUAUUCCCGAUAAAUAACAGGCAACAUUUCAUUGAUUCGCUUUAAAAAAUCAUAGCAAAUUAAGCCCUUAGUUACAACUAAAUCUGGUUUAUUAUCGUACCGUGUUCGAGAUUCCAGAGGUGACUUCCCAGACCGCAUCUUAAAACCUACAGUCAGGAGCUAAUUUUACAGAUGCUUUCAUGAAUGGCAGCGAGGAUGUUCCUACCAUUAGCGUGCCCUUAAUUCCAGCACCGUAAAACGCCUCGAAUUAAAUGGAAACUCGCUGCCUUAAAAACAAUAUUUCAUCCUGGCUGGAUAAUUAUUAAUGUUAGCAUUUGAUCGCAAUGCUGCUGUGCUCCCCCCGUCCCGUCCCCCCCCCCCGUCCCCGUCCCCCCCAGCGCUUCGCAUUGUCAUGUGAUUGGAGGGAGAUAACAAACCUCAAGAAAGAAAAGGAGUCAGAAGACAUUUUUAACACGGCAUAACCGCAGAUUAAUAAUGCAGGGAUUAAAAGUUUGAUUCUGCUUCCCACACCAUACUCUGGAAACCGUCCCUAAUAGAGAGCUAGCCUGAGAUCCGUGCCUGCCUUCGGACAUCAAAAUAUGGCAGCUCAGCUAACCGCCCCGAACGCUCUCCUCCCAUCAGCUACAGAUCAGAAGGGAAAGCAUUUCUGGAGUGCAGGGAGACAUUCAAACCAAAGGGACAGAUUUGGGCACGUGGAGGACGUGAACUGGAAGAUCUUGACUUGGAGUGAGUUUCGCAAGGAGCACGAGGACAGGAGAGCUGUGAAUUGUUACAGUUCCAUCCCACAGGACAAGCACGUGUUGGAUGGUAAUUCUGCAAUGCAGAAAUUGUCUUCAUCUGCCUAAUGCCUGAUGCUUUCUCCUCCCCGAAAGACUGACUUGUUAAAAGCACUGCUUAAAAAUAAUUAACAACACAAGGCGCCGCUUUUCUGCUCCCUUGGAAAUUAGCAGGAGUAAGGGAAGAGGGAAUCUAAAACUUAACAAUAGGAGAGGGAGGUACAAUGGCUUGAAAGUGGCCUGCACCCCUCACAUUUUAAUUUCCACCAAUGCCCCCGGCGAGGCUGGGCACAGCAAACCGCCUCGAGAUUGACAUGCGAAGCGUGUGAGCUCAUUGCAAUAGCUGUACCAUAGCGCACGCCUAGGUGUUCUACACCUCACAUACAGAUCACCCUGCAGGAUUAAGAUUCAAAUCACCUGUCCUUCGUCGCUAAUAAAAUUGAAAUAUAUUAGGGGAAGUUUGAAUACAGUGGCUUGACAGAGCAUGUCAUGUCUCGCACGUGAAAAACGCCACGACUGCACAAUCAAAAAGUAGCUGCCCGUUUUUGUAGCAUAAGAUUUUUUCUCUUUCAAAGGGCAAAAUGCGUACUUUGAGAUGAGCUAAGCCCAAACCCUAAACUCCUACAGCCCCUAAGAGUGCAGCGUGAGACCAACUCAGAACACCGUACUAUGCUGAGGGGGGAAAAAAAAAAAAAAGUUUGUUUUUAUGAGACUGACAGAUUUUGUUUUCCUUUUCGAGUGUGCAGAAGGUAAGCAAAGCAUGAGAAGCAGUGCUGUACUUCAAGCGGUCCUUCCCCAAUUAAGAAGUUGCCACCGCAGAACACCACCCUACCGUAGAAGUUACCGAUAUUGUCAUAUUAAGGGUUUGUCAGUGUUUCCAUUCUAAACCUAAGCCACUCUUAGCCUUAGGCCUAGACCCUACUAAGGCUUUCUGGCAAACAGCGUAUCAGCCAGGUAGAUGAACACAUCUCCCGAGAGCUGACGAGGCUGGUGGCAUUUUCAGCCUGUCCUGAGCUUGCUUUUUCAGGAAAGCAGGAAGCCAGGCAGACUUUAGGAUGGAAAGCAUGUAGGACAGUGCCUCUGUGUCACAAAGUAAUCCACAACAGACAUCUGAUAAGCCGUAUGCCACUCCAAGCGAGACACAAACAAAGCACAGGGACUGUCAUUAAGGAACCACACACAACAGGUUAUUUUGUUCUGCUUACAGUAUUGACACAAGGGUGGACAUCACAAGCUCCUAACCAGUGCUCCAUCUCUGCUGGAAACUGCGUCUGUCCCUCCCCUAACUGAAGGGAUAGAACCGAUUCAAAAAGGUGCGUUAAAGCUCUAGGUGCUGCAGUCAGAAACGUUUGUAAAGCCUAUUUGGUGUGGAUUCAUGAAAUAGACAGCAACAGCUCCAAAAAUUGCCUCCCCUUCUGAGGAGGAUGCUUUAAGAAGUUGCCAAGAGCCCGAUCCCAAGUAGCCUCUGGGAAAAUGCCCAGGGAGGUACAUCAAAUAUGUCUCCAAAUCUGCCGCCUCAACGGGUGGCUCUAAUAUUGGUUUCUGUGAAGAGGCACAGACUCUGGGCCGCCCUCUUCCCCCUGAGCUCGUCCUUCCUGAGAUAAGGCUGGUAGCAGAGGGAGAUAGAGGAGGAAAACUUAAUGUGCCACUGCUUGUGCCAUACCUGUUCUGCAGAUAGCGUGAGGACUUUGGUCCUCAGGACUGUCCAUCUGGCACCAUUCCUGAGCAAUAAAAGCUCACCUGCAAAGUAUUUUAAAGCAAACAGUUGGUGUAAUGAAUACCUCGAUACUCCUGUAGCUAGACAACGCUACCACAAAUAGCAGUUACUCCAAAAACACCCGGUCAGUGAAAAGAGCCCAAGUUCACGUCCCAGCUCCUUCGGCCAGUGGAAGACAGGACCUGGUCACAGGGGGGUGUCUCCUUGUGUCCAUUCCCCGUGGCUAAUCCGAGCACACCAGCACGCUUUCCAAAAGAGGUGGUGUUUAAGCAACCCUUGAACCUAGUGAAAAGGUGAGCUGGCCACCAGCGCGGUCUCAGGAAGUAAAUGGAAGUGUGUGCACAGGGUGUGGGGUCAGGCAUCAAGUACUCUUAAAAAAAAAAAAAAAAAGGAAAAA